rnacentral:SRP_RNA from 1 species
GCUGGGCAUGGUGGCGGAUGCCUGUAAUGCCAGCUACUUGGGAGGCUGAGGCAGGAGGAUCACUUGAGCCCAGGAGGUCGAGGCUGCAGUGAGCCUAGGAGAUCACACCACUGCACUCCAACCUGGGCAAUAGAGCGAGAUCCUGUCUCAA